GCCAGUGUAGUGUAGAGGUUUGAGGAUUGGACUAUGAUUCUGGGAGACCAGGGUUCGAAUCCCUGUUCAGUCA